AAACAAGUGCGAAGUGAACAAAUUUACAAAACCGACUUAAUAAACGAUUGCAGUCAAAAUGAAGUCGAAGAAGUUCAAGGCAUUAAUUAAGAAAGAGGAUGGUGUUGCCGUGAAAAUAUGUCGAUGGUGUCUGACGGCUGAUGAUGCUUUGCAAGCUCUAACGCGCGACGAUUCCGGACAAUAUAAACUUCAAAAACUUUUCGACUUUACCGGUCUACAGAUUUAAUUAUCUCCUGGAGUUCCAUCGUAUUUGUGCACGAUGUGCGAAGCGCGUUUGAAAAAGAUGGAUCGGUUUCGCUGGCGAUGCAAUGAAAAGAUUGAUUUGGUCGAUAAAUUUAUCCAACAGCAGAACACAGCAAAGAACGCAACAGAAAUCACUCAAGAUCAUCUUGACCUCAAGACCAUCUUGGUCGGCACAGAACUGUCAAUUAAAACUGAAGUGACCUCAUCGGAUGCAGCGAAGGAUUUGAACUUGAAUCAGAAGUGUUAUACUGUUCAUCAAGCGAAUAGGACAUAUGAAUGUUGUGGCCACAUACCUGAUGAUUUAUUCGAGGCAGAAGAAAAUCCAAUUGCAAUCAAAUCAGAGUAUGAAGAGGUCGAAGAACAGGAUCAGCUGCUAACAACGAAUGAUGUUCUGGUUCAUGAACAGGAUAACCUCAUAAGCUCUCGGAAAAAACAAAAGCACCACUGUCCUCAUUGUUCAUCAAUGUUCGCACCGCCAUCUAACCUAAAGAGACAUAUCCGCACUCACACUGGCGAAAA